AAUAUCACCGCAAAAAACGCGCAAGGGAGAGAAAACACAACGACAACAUAAACCUGAGAAUUAGUGAGAGUAAUAGACAACAACAAACCGCACCACAUUUCCAUCUACUCUCCUUCUCCAACACCAUCAAAACCCCCACCAUUUUCUUCAUUCUUCAUCACAACUUUCGAUCUCUCUCUCAAACCUGCUAGUGAGAAAGAAACACAACGCCGACAACGAUAUAUCUGCAGGAUGCACACUGCUUAUCCCUCUACAUUUUGGGCAUGCCUGAUUCUGCUACUGCGAUGCGGGAUUCUAGCAAAUGCAUUGCUAGAUCCGAAUGAUUUCUUGGCACUACAAUCAGUCAGAAAAAGCUUCAACGAUUUGCCGGGCUCCAACUAUUUCUCUUCCUGGGAUUUAACGGCUGAUCCCUGCAGUUUCUCCGGCGUCUUCUGCGACGCCGACCGCGUGAUCGCCCUCAAUCUCGGCGACCCACGGGCCGGGUCACCCGGGCUGUCGGGCCGGAUCGACCCGGCUAUCGGCAAGCUCUCCGCCUUAGCAGAGCUCACCAUCGUCCCGGGCCGGGUCGUCGGCCCGCUCCCCCGCACCCUCUCCCAGCUCAAGUCCCUCAGAUUCCUCGCCAUCAGCCGCAAUUUCAUCUCCGGCAACAUUCCGGCGGGACUCGGCCAGCUCCGGCGCCUACAGACACUCGACCUCAGCUUCAACCAGCUCACCGGAGCUAUACCCCGCCCCGUCGGCGCGUUGCCGGCGCUGGCCAAUGUGGUUCUCAGCAACAAUCACCUCACCGGCCCGAUUCCUCCUUUUGUCUCUCUCCAGCUAGCCCGCCUCGACUUAAAGCACAACAACCUAUCCGGUUCAAUCUCCUCGCUCGGGUUCCCCCCAUCGCUCCAAUACAUCUCUCUGUCGUCCAACCGCCUUUCCGGUUCGUUAGACCGGGUUUUCUCCGGUUUGAACCAGUUAAACUACCUCGAUCUCAGCAUGAACCAGUUGACCGGUUCGAUCCCGGUCGAGCUUUUUAGUUUCCCGAUCAGCAGCCUUCAGCUCCAGAGAAACCAGUUCUCUGGCCCGGUCGAACCGGUUGACAAGGUGACGAUCGCGACGGUGGAUCUGAGCUUCAACCGGCUGUCGGGGGAGGUAUCGCCGAUGCUGUCGACCGUUGUGAAUUUGUACAUGAACAACAACCGGUUCACGGGGCGGGUGCCGAGAAGCAUGGUGGACCGGUUAUUGGAGGGCAGCAUACAAGUGCUGUAUCUACAGCAUAAUUUUUUGAGCGGGAUCGAGAUAAAACCGACGGUGGCGAUUCCUCUGAGCUCGUCGAUUUGUCUACAGUAUAACUGUAUGGUGCUGCCCGUAGACACGGCCUGCCCACUCAAAGCUGGUCCGGACAAAUCAAGGCCUACUUCGCAGUGCAUCGAAUGGAAAGGCUAAAAUGGGUAAUUCAUUUAUUUCGUUGGGAAAAAUGUUUGAUAAAAUGCGUGUGUGGCGUCAGAUUCUAAAGUGGCAUUGCAGUGGAUAAGUUCUUAUCCUUUUAAAAUUCCUACACAUCAGCCACACUAUCCCCCAAAGUAUGAAGGCCCUCUUGUACGAGC